GAUGAAAGCUCCCUGGUCUGAGCAAGUGCUAGUGAGCUUAGCGCAGAGGACAGAGAACUACUGACAGCUUAUCAUCACAGUUUUGAUGAAAAGGUGGAUCUGGACCUCAUUAUGCACUCACUUCAUAACAUCUGUCAUAGUUGUGAGACCGGAGCGAUUUUAAUAUUUCUUCCUGGAUAUGAUGAGAUAGCUUGAGGGACCGCAUUCUUUUUGAUGACAGGAGAUUUGCUGACCAUGCGCACAGAUUCUUUCUACAAAUACAGCAGAAACCAGCAUAACAGUCAAUGAUGUGGUAUUUGUUAUUGGCUCAGGCAAG